AGGGGGCCAGCUUUUCGGUGUUCACUUAAAAAUCCGUGAAGACCCCAUCCCGUCCCACAGCAAAUCUGCGCCUCCGCGCGGGCACCAGGAAUCCCAAAACGGGUAGGGGGGUGUAAAAACAGACACGCCUGGAUGUCUCCCACUCCCCAAGCCCAAGGUAUUUUUACUGGCUAAUUGCUUAACUGAAGCCGCCCCGGCAGAGAGCGCGCCGCCGUAACCCGAGCAGGGAACCAGAUCCAGCUCGAUCGUGCCCGGGCCGGCCGCGCAGGCGGGGGCAGGGGCGGCCGCCGACCACCCACCCGCGAGGGCAGCCGCCCUGCCCGCCGCCGCCGCCCCUGCUCUGCAUUAGCGCCGGCCUGCGCCUCCCUCGCCCCUGCUCCCUCCAACUCCUUCCAGGCGACGUCCAAAGGCGACACAAGGUUUCCGUGGCUGGCCUGGGCUCCGCCGGCGGUUCUUCUGCUCUGUGUGAUGCUCCAUAGCAUGAGCUGGGCUGGACGUCCAGGCUGCUGGGUCUCCUGGUUGCUGGUUGGUGCUGGCCGUUGCGGGGAGCUCAGCCUGGGACUUCUCACCAGAGCACGUGAGUUCUCCCUGUGGCCUGGCCACGUGGCUCCAGCUUCUAAUAACAGGGUGCCUGGAUCCCCAGAAGAUGAUGUGGAAGCUUCCAGCCUUCUUAAGACCUGGGUUCAGAUAUCCCAGACCACCAUUCUAUUGGCCAGAGCAGUAGAGGCCCAGCCUGGACUCGAGGGGAGGGCUCCAUCUCUGGACAGGAGCCCGCCUUGCACCUCAGGCCGGGUGGCAUUGUUGGGGAGCAUCUUUGGAGCUUAGGAGCGAACCGUGGAGCUGAUUGCCACUUGAGGAGGACCACUCUGGCUGCUGUGCAGAGAGGAGUGUGUGCUCAGAGUCCCCUGGGACCGAAGCAUCACCUCCAUGCCCUCCUCAUCUUCACCUCGACUUCUGCAUUAAAGGUCAGCCCUCCCAGGGCCCCUGGGGGUGAGCACUGACUGAGGGAGAAUCUCAACCUCCCUCGGCCUCAUCCCAACUGACAGACCCCGCUGCUCCCUCUGGCUUGGGUUCCCAAGGGCACACCCUCCUCCACAACCCAGACAGUGGCAGUGUGUGGACUCCAUAGAAAUGGAGAAAGGGUUUUUCAUCCAGCUUAGCCAGAGAAGGGCAAAGAAAUUGGUUUUAAAAUUGAUGGAGACAGAUACACAGAGAGGAGGACACCAUGUGAAGACACGGAGACCUGGGGAGAGGCCACGUGACCGCAGAGGCAGUGACUGGAGGGAGUAGAAUGCCGCGGACGGCGGCCACACCAGGAGCUGGGAGAGGAGCUUGAAAUCGAUCCUCCACCAGAGGCCCCGGAAAGAACCGACCCUGCCGACCGCUCGAUUCCAGGCUUCUGACCCCGCAACCGCGAGAGACUCAAUUUCUGCUGUUUUAAGCUCCCCAGUGAGCGGUACAUGGGUGUGGCAGCCCCAGGACCGCGUACAGGUUUAGAGAUCUCAUUUUUCGUGCAUAUGUAUGUAUUUGUUCAAUAAAAGAGAUGGCAUUAUAAAUCAGUGGCAGUGAAUAAAAUUCGUUAAAUUGUGUUGGUUAAAAAAAACAAGAUCGAAUGUUGUCUAUAUAAUUGAUGUGCUCAUAGAGAUAAAAAUCCAAGCCUUCAUAG
rnacentral:lncRNA from 1 species